rnacentral:rRNA from 1 species
AUUGAACGCUGGCGGCAGGCCUAACACACGCAAGUCGAACGAGUGGCGGACGGGUGAGUAAUGUCUGGGAAACUGCCUGAUGGAGGGGGAUAACUACUGGAAACGGUAGCUAAUACUGCAUACCUCCCGAUGUUCCUCGAUGUGAUUAGCGAGUUGGUGGGGUAAUGGCUCACCAAGGUGACGAUCCCUAGCGGUUCUGGGAGGAUGACCAGCCAAACUAGAACUGAGACACGGACCAGACUCCGACGGGAGGGAGGAGUGGGGAAUAUUGACGACUGGGCGCAAGCCUGAAGCAGCCAUGCCGCGUGUAUGAAGAAGGCCUUCGGGUUGUAAAGUACUUUCAGCGGGGAGGCGUUACCCGAAGAAGAAGCACCGGCUAACUCCGUGCCAGCAGCCGCGGUAAUAC